UACAGAGGUCUCAAGCGUUGUUCGGAUUCAUUGGGCGUAAAGGGUGCGUAGGCGGCGCGGUAAGUCGGGUGUGAAAUCUUGGAGCUUAACUCCGAAACUGCAUUCGAUACUGCCGUGCUUGAGGACUGGAGAGGAGACUGGAAUUUACGGUGUAGCGGUGGAAUGCGUAGAUAUCGUAAGGAAGACCAGUGGCGAAGGCGGGUCUCGUGGACAGUUCCUGACGCUGAGGCACGAAGGCCAGGGGAGCAAACGGG
rnacentral:rRNA from 1 species